rnacentral:rRNA from 1 species
GUGGGGAAUCUUGCGCAAUGGGCGAAAGCCUGACGCAGCAACGCCGCGUGGGGGAUGAAGGCUCUCGGGUUGUAAACCCCUUUCAGCAGGGACGAAUCAAGACGGUACCUGCAGAAGAAGCCCCGGCUAACUACGUGCCAGCAGCCGCGGUAACACGUAGGGGGCAAGCGGUGUCCGGAUUUAUUGGGCGUAAAGAGCUCGUAGGUGGCUGAGUAAGUCGGAUGUCAAAUCCCCAGGCUCAACCUGGGAUCCCAUCCGAUACUGCUCUGGCUAGAGUCCGGUAGGGGAGCGUGGAAUUCCUGGUGUAGCGGUGAAAUGCGCAGAUAUCAGGAGGAACACCAGCGGCGAAGGCGGCGCUCUGGGCCGGUACUGACACUGAGGAGCGAAAGCGUGGGUAGCAAACAGGAUUAGAAACCCCGGUAGUCC